CUUGAGUGGAGGUCAUUGGGCCUUUUGCCAGUGGCCAACAGAGCUGUCAAAAAAGGCAGAUUAAAUAACCACUUUGGGGUGAAGCGGCAACAUCUUGUGUUGUUGAACUUCAAUCGGUGAUGUGACAAAG
rnacentral:snoRNA from 1 species